rnacentral:ncRNA from 1 species
UAGAAUACUAGUUAAAGAAACUCUGUGAGUGGAGUAUUAGAGUUAGGGAGAUAAACACAUUGAGCUAUCAAACCCCCUCUUGAGGGAUAAAACCACACAGACUCUGAAACGAAAGGAAAAUACCACUUAAUGACAUUUUCAACCAUUUUUAGCAGCAAUUAGAGGAGAGCCAUUAUUGAUUUCUGCGACAUCUCCACAGGUUUGGAUGGAUAGGGAUCCUCUGCCUCUGUCGAUGUUUAAAUGGAACUUGUGACCCUUGAAUAUCUCCAAUCCUGCACAGGUUUGGAUGGAUAGGGAGCGCUCCUCUUCCUCUAUCGAUGUAUCAACUCCUGCACGUGGGGUUUGUCCAGAUAGGGUUGCUCUCAUAUGCCUAGGGCUUCUCUCUUCUUGUUGUCUCCACUCUUGCAUGCAAGGUUUGGCCGUAAAGGGUUACUCUCAUGCACAUAGGGCUUCUCUCGGGUUUCUAUUGUGAAUGGGUGCGAAUGAAUUAGCUUAUAUAUAUAUAAAUUAACCUUUUCAAAAUUGGUACGGAUAAGGGGAAUCCAACUGUUUAAUUAAAACAAAGCAUUGUGAUGGUCCCUGUAGAUGCUGACACAAUGUGAUUUAUGCCCAGUUCUCUACAUGUCAAAGUGAAGAAAUUCAACUAAGCGUGGGUAAACGAUGGGAGUAACUAUGAAUCUAUUAAUGUAGCUAUAUGCCUCAUCAUAUAAUUAGUGAUGUACAUGAAUGGAUUAAUGAGAUUCCCACUAUCCCUAGCUACUAUCUAGAGAAACCACAACCAAGGGAACAUGCUUGGUAGAAUUAGCGGGGAAAUAAAACCUUGUUGAGCUUGACUCUAGUCCGACUUUGUGAAAUGACUUGUGAGUUGUAGAAUAAGUGGGAGUCGUUUUCAGCACAAGUGAAAUACCACUACUUUUAACGUUGUUUUACUUAUUCUGUGGGGAGGAGACGAGGCAUUGAAGAUAUGUUAAAAGAUAACACACAUUUCCUCAAAGUGUUGUCAUUGAUGGAAAUGGUUGAGAUCUCCUUCUUCACACACUUGAUGGCAAUGAGUUUAGGAAACCAAAGAGUAUCAUUGAUUUUAAGGAUGAAGAACGUUCCUACAAUCCCUAUGUUUUUAGAUAAAAUCCCCCUAUAAUUAUCUAUGUUAUGGUUCCUCAUUGUAAAUUGGUGACUUGAGUCCUCAUAGGCUUAGAGAGUGGGUGGAUUAUGAUGCCAAAUUCUUUGGCCCUCAAUAGAAUUUCAUUUUCCAUUUUGUGAGUGGCAUGCAUACUCAAGUUAUAGACACACUGGAGCUAUGGAUUCCCAAUGAUUUUCAAGCAUUGCAAGAUAUAACCAUGCAAGAACAAUUUCAUGGGUAUUAACAUAAUCAAUUCAUAUUUCUAAACCACUUUUUUCUC